GAUGAACGCUAGCGGCAGGCCUAAUACAUGCAAGUCGAACGGUGUCUUCGGACAUAGUGGCGCACGGGUGCGUAACACGUAUGCAACCUACCUUACAUUGGGGGAUAGCCUUUCGAAAGGGAGAUUAAUACCGCAUAAGACAGUAGCUGGGCAUCCAGCAGCUGUUAAAGAUUUAUCGAUGUAAGCUGGGCAUGCGUCCAAUUAGCUAGUUGGUGAGGUAACGGCUCACCAAGGCAAUGAUUGGUAGGGGAACUGAGAGGUCAAUCCCCCACACUGGAACGGAGAUACGGGCCAGACUCCGACGGGAGGCAGCAGUAGGGAAUAUUGGGCAAUGGACGCAAGUCUGACCCAGCCAUGCCGCGUACAGGAUGAAGGCGUUAUGCGUUGUAAACUGCUUUUAUACAGGAAGAAACGACUCUUGCGAGAGGCAUUGACGGUACUGUAUGAAUAAGCACCGGCUAACUCCGUGCCAGCCGCCGCCGUAACAC
rnacentral:rRNA from 1 species